rnacentral:rRNA from 1 species
UACAGGGGGGGCAAGCGUUGUUCGGAAUUACUGGGCGUAAAGGGCUCGUAGGCGGCCAACUAAGUCACACGUGAAAUCCCCAGGCUUAACCUGGGAACUGCGUGUGAUACUGGAUGGCUUGAAUCCGGGAGAGGGAUGCAGAAUUCCAGGUGUAGCGGUGAAAUGCGCAGAUAUCAGGAGGAACACCGAUGGCGAAGGCAGGUCUCUGGGCAUUAACUGACGCUGAGGAGCGAAAGCAUGGGGAGCGAACAGG